CUCCCAAACCCAAUGUGAACGUUACCAAACUGUUGCCUCGGCGGGAUCUCUGCCCCGGGCGCGUCGCAGCCCCGGACCAAGGCGCCCGCCGGAGGAAAAAACAACCAAAACUCUUUUUGUAUGCCCCCUCGCGGGUUUUUUACUUCUGAGAACUUCUCGGCGCCCCUUAGCGGGCGUUUCGAAAAUGAAUCAAAACUUUCAACAACGGAUCUCUUGGUUCUGGCAUCGAUGAAGAACGCAGCGAAAUGCGAUAAGUAAUGUGAAUUGCAGAAUUCAGUGAAUCAUCGAAUCUUUGAACGCACCUUGCACUCCUUGGUAUUCCGAGGAGUAUGCCUGUUUGAGUGUCAUUAAAUUCUCUCAAAUCUAAUCCCUUUGUUGGGUGUUAGACUUGGAUGUGAGGGUUGCCGGUUCCUAUUGGAAUCAGCUCCCUUUAAAUGCAUUAGUAGAGCUAUUCUCGUUUGGUGUUUGAUAGUCUAUCGAUGCCAAUUUCUAGAGUCUUAGUUUUUCUGCUUAUAACCUUCUUUCGUCUUAGGACGGAACGAUUUUUGACUAUUUGACCUCAAAUCAGGUAGGACUACCCGCUGA
rnacentral:rRNA from 1 species